GACGAACGCUGGCGGCGUGCUUAACACAUGCAAGUCGAACGGAAAGGCCCUGCUUUUGUGGGGUGCUCGAGUGGCGAACGGGUGAGUAACACGUGAGUAACCUGCCCUUGACUUUGGGAUAACUUCAGGAAACUGGGGCUAAUACCGGAUAGGAGCUCCUGCUGCAUGGUGGGGGUUGGAAAGUUUCGGCGGUUGGGGAUGGACUCGCGGCUUAUCAGCUUGUUGGUGGGGUAGUGGCUUACCAAGGCUUUGACGGGUAGCCGGCCUGAGAGGGUGACCGGCGACAUUGGGACUGCGAUACGGACCAGACUCCUACGGGAGGCAGCAGUGGGGAAUAUUGCACAAUGGGCGGAAGCCUGAUGCAGCAACGCCGCGUGCGGGAUGACGGCCUUCGGGUUGUAAACCGCUUUCGCCUGUGACGAAGCGUGAGUGACGGUAAUGGGUAAAGAAGCACCGGCUAACUACGUG
rnacentral:rRNA from 1 species